UACGUAUGGACCGAGCGUUGUCCGGAAUCAUUGGGCGUAAAGGGUACGUAGGCGGAAAUGCAAGUCAGAUGUAAAAGGCAGUAGCUUAACUACUGUAAGCAUUUGAAACUGCAUAUCUUGAGAAGAGUAGAGGUAAGUGGAAUUUUUAGUGUAGCGGUGAAAUGCGUAGAUAUUAAAAAGAAUACCGGUGGCGAAGGCGACUUACUGGGCUCAUUCUGACGCUGAGGAACGAAAGCGUGGGGAGCAAACAGG
rnacentral:rRNA from 1 species